AUUGAACGCUGGCGGCAGGCCUAACACAUGCAAGUCGAACGAGUGGCGGACGGGUGAGUCAUGUCUGGGAAACUGCCUGAUGGUGGGGGAUAACUACUGGAAACGGUAGCUAAUACCGCAUACCAUCAGAUGUGCCCAGAUGGGAUUGGCUUGUUGGUGGUGUAACGGCGCACCAACGCGACGAUCCCUAGCUGGUCUGAGAGGAUGAACCGACACCCUGGAAAUGAGACACGGUCCAGGCGCCUACGGGAGGCAGCAGUGGGGAAUAUUGCACCAUGGGCGCAAGCCUGAUGCAGCCAUGCCGCGUGUAUGAAGAAGGCCGUCGGGUUGUAAAGUACUUUCAGCGGGGAGGCGUUACCCGCAGAAGAAGCACCGGCUAACGCCGUGCCAGCAGCCGCGGUAAUAC
rnacentral:rRNA from 1 species